UCGGGGCUGAUUUAAACUACAGAUUUGGGAGCCUUCGGAGAUGAAAAGGAUUAAGGUCCAAGUAACAAGGUUGUAGCUGGGACUUUGUUCUCCAGCUUCCAUAAAGGAAUUUUCUUGGCGUCCUGCUCAACUUUCCAAAGAUAAACCCUCCCUAAGGCUCUAGGUUGGGCUGAAGACCGGACUUUAGCCGAUAUAGCUCAAGAAGACUGAGUCAACAAGAUUAGGGGCUUGUCUUAAGAUUAACUCGGCUGAUUUAAGCCCAAGU
rnacentral:lncRNA from 1 species